CACUUCCCUCUGAUCCUGGCUCCCAACCUGCAGAAACCCCUCCAGACUCAAGAACAAGGUCUUGCUCCAGGCGAUCAAGGUGUGAAGGAUGCCACUGGGCUCGGUGCAGGGCUGGCAGGGAUGUCAGUGCAGCUCCCUGUAGACACACUACCUCAUGGUUCAGCAGCAGCCCUUUGCCAGGCUCCAGGCUGGCUCUGGUGCCUCUCUGGGGCCUCCCCUUCUGGUGUUGCUGAGGGCUUGUACGUGCAGUGGCUGCCAGCGCCUGCCUCACGGACAUCACCUGGGCUUGGAUGCUCACCGAGUGAGCUCCUCUGCCUCCCUGAGGGGGAGGUGUUGCCCCAUCUCCCGGUGUGCUGACCCCACUCUUGCUGAAGCAGCUAGUGCUGAUGGUUCUGGGCAGAGCCAGCCUCCCUCUGCUACCUUUGGUCAAGGUAGGCUUAAAAGAGAAAUGGAGGGGUGGCCAAGGGGUGCCCAGUGCCUCAUUAGACCCUUCUUCACAGCAUUAGGCUGCUGGCAGAGGUUGAGGGGGAGCCUCAAGAGGAGCAGAGCCCUCUCCCAGCAGCCAUGGUGCCUGACCUCUGCACUCCUGCUGACCUCCAGCAGUAUUGGCUCUGGGGCCCUGAGCUGACCCAUUUUCAGUGUCCCAACUCCAGACUGUUAAUCUGUAACUAAUGUGUUUUUUUCUGACAUUUUCAAACUGAUGUAUAUUUUAAGACCAGAAAUAAACUAUUUUAAAAGUAGGUGGCAAUGGCUACAGUGUUCUCUAUUAGCUAAGACCUGAACUGACCCUGGGCAUGUGAGAAGUAGAACCUCUCAUGAUACAGUGUCCCAGGGUUGCUGAGCUGUGUGUGUCACCCAUUAGCUCUCCCAGGGAAGAGCAAUCCUACAACCUGUAAGCUUUCCAGGAAGCUGUGAACUCAUUGGACGUCCUCACUGCUCACUUCAGCAACAGCCUGAUUCCACGUGCUUGUGCAAAUCGAGUCAUCUGUGUUGGAGAAGAGAUGCAAUCCCAGGCAAGGAGUAAUGUGUGGGAAUGAGCUGUGGUUUUCUUCUUUAACCUUAUCCAGACUCUGCACAUUUUGGGUCUGAAUGUCGACUGUCAGCUCAAAGAUCAGACUGAGCCUGCAGACCAAUCCAUUGUUCACAGCAGCACUUGUGUCACUUGUGACUCAGAAGCUCACAGUAGCUUAAAAAAAGGGCAGAUUAUUUGACCAAGCAACUUCUGAGAAACACUGAAAACAAUGUUGGCAAUUUUCACAUUACUUAAAGGCUGUAAAUGUUUGAAUAGUAAAAAACCUCUGCAGUGAAGCUUACUGUGCCCUAAGCAGCUUCAGUGCUACUCAUAAAAUUCUGCCUACCCCAUUUCAAGCAUUUUGCUGGCCGAGAGGUCAGAGGAGUGUGAUGAAAUUUCCUCCAUCUCCCCAGUUACGCUGCCUGUGCCCUUCUGAUCUGGGUGUAUGGAACACGGGCAGUUUCUUGUUUCUUUGUCCCCAUAAUUAAUGAUUUUAUUCUGUGUUUGCUUCAGUAGCAGCUGCUGCCACAAUUUAAUCUUCCAACCUAAUCUGAGCCUUGAAACAUGAUAUUCCUUACCUAGCUCCAGCAAGAGCCACCUGGCUGAGCAAUGAAAGCUAGUGCUGAGGCAGCCACCUGGUGCCAGCCUCCAUGCAGAGGGCAUCUAUCUUCUGCUGUUGGACAGAGGAAAAGCCUGGGAGUUACUGCAUCAGGCUAUGACCAACCUCCCUGUAGGGCCAGGUGAACAUCCCUGGACCCUGCCCUCGCAGGGAGCAGGAGAGCCCACUGGCAAGGCAGGCUGCUGCUGGUGCUCUGAGGCCCUGCACACCUGCCUGCUCCUGGUACCUACCAGUGUCUGCCCCACUGCAGGGGGUGCAGAGUGAUGGAGGGAACACUGCCAUGAGUGGUGCCAUGUCUGUGACCUUUAUAAAACUCUCAUUGCGACAGCAGUACAAGCAAUAGAAAGAACAUCUCUUAUACACAUCUGAAUAAAUACAUCCUGCGCCCUGUGGGCACAGCAGGGCACAGGGGGGAGGCAGGGCAGCGUGAGCUACACGGGCAGCGACUGGACAAGCACAAGCGGCCAAUGUGGUGCGUGACAACACAGAGACGUGUGUAGAGAUUAUCUUGGGCCAGGCUCUGGCACUCAGAGAACCAGGAGAGGCAUCAACAGGACGUGAAAUGUGUGAGAAGAUGGCUGGGGCAGGCCGGCGGCAGGGAGCCAUGGAUGCACACUGCCCGCAGCCACAGUGCUCUUCUCGGCAG
ensembl:lncRNA